CAGAGCAGAUCACUCUUUUCCGACGAAUCAUCUGACUGUCAAUAGUAGCCUGAAUUUACCUCACUAUACCUGCAUCAUUCACCUCCCAUCUCACCACGCAGAGAUUUUAUGGUCUCACAUCAUCACAAGAAGAAGAAGGGUGGAGAGUGCAGCACUGUAAGGACCAAGCUCAGGUCUUCAAGUCAGAGUGGAUGAGCCAACCAAAAAAGACCUGUGAACCCAAGGUCAGGGUCCUGUCUAGGAAACCUGGGACCUUGACACAUGAGAACAUCCAAUGGGAUGUAUGGCAAAUCCUAGUGGGAGAACAACAGUGCAGGCUUUGACGUUCUGGAUCAAAGCCAAGCCCCCCAUUUCUUCUUCCUACCCCUGCGGCACCCAACAUAUACCCAGGAGAUUGAUCUGUCGAAGGACUAAACGGAAACACUGAAAGUAGCCAGAGAAGAGGCCCUAUAGCUCAGACGACCCUCAGCUUUCCAGCACUGCCUUAGAA